GCCCUGACUCUACCUGGCUAAAAAGGCAGUGUUGUGGAACCCCAGCUUCUGCUCACAAAGCUGGCUUUCUUGAACCCCACUCUCCAUCCUCAGGUGUUUGACUUCACCUUUAGCCCAGAAGAGAUGAAGCAGCUAAAUGCCCUGAACAAAAAUUGGAGAUAUAUUGUGCCUAUGCUUACGGUGGAUGGGAAGAGAGUCCCAAGGGAUGCAGGGCAUCCUCUGUACCCCUUUAAUGACCCGUACUGAGACCACAGCUUCUUGGCCUCCCUUCCAGCUCUGCAGCUAAUGAGGUCCUGCCACAACGGAAAGAGGGAGUUAAUAAAGCCAUUGGAGCA
rnacentral:sRNA from 1 species